CAAUCAUGUUGCAAUACUGUAGACCUAUGUUAGAAAAUUGGGCCCAUAUCCACAAAACUUUGCUGAUGUUUUGACGGUUUCGGAGGUGGAACUGCAUUAGAGCUGUCAAAUCCACAAGUGGUUCCGAGCAUUAUACCUAAAGCGGACAUUGCCAUUGGCUGCGUGGAGUCACAUUAAGAGAAAUCGCAUGUAGCCUUGUUUACAAAUGACAACCCUGGAAUGUGAGAUGCAAUCUACACAUCCACCAAUUCAGCUAUAUUGUGUUUUUUUUACACUGAUGUUAACUGUUUUUUUUUACAUAAUAUUUUCCUUUCCUAUGACACGAAAAGAGCUUCUGGGCAUCAGAACAGGAUCACUAACCUCGAUUUGGACGAUGUCUACUUCAGCGAGUCGGCAGAGUGGACAUACUGCUCACUCUGGAACAGGCCUUAACCCCUGUGACUUGAAAGAGGAAGAAACCUCGCAAAAGAGGAAAACGAGCUGGACCCCUGACGUGACUACGUCGACGAAAUCGGCGGAAUGAAUACACCCCUGAUCACACGUAAACACACAGCCACAGCCACACAACAAGUGAUAUCAAUAAGGAAUCAUAGCUUUUACCUGGAUUCGCCUUGUCCGUCUGUCAUAGAAAUGUGUUGUACACUUAGUGGAAAUCAAGUUAUUCCUGUCACAGAUUUUGAUUUAUACUGCCAUCUUCUGGCCAUUGCACAAACUGAAAGCAAUCAAUGUCCUCUUUGUUUCACUCUGCAGUAAAACAAAAAAAGGGAUUUGAGAUCAAAUGUUUCAUAUAAGGCGACAUUAUACAAUGUCACCUUUCAUUUUUUUUUCAUGCAUAUCUGUUUGACCGUUUAGAUAUGAAAACAACUGAUGUAUCUAGUCUCCCAUUUGAAGACGUCAUAAGUAUUUGGACAACUUCACUUGUAGUGUAUUAGUGGUAACCCUUUAAACAUAAUGUUCAGUUAAAUUAUGUAUUUAGAUAUUGGUUCCCUUCCCCUGUAAACAGUCUAUGAACGUCUCUAAUGAGUGACUGCAAUCCACACUUUGGUUUUGAUAGUCACUGCCAACAAACAAGGAUGUUAUCAUUUUCAGACAAACACGUUACUUCCUUCAGCA
ensembl:lncRNA